rnacentral:lncRNA from 1 species
CAGAGAGUUACAAAGCUUUGUUUAAAGACAAAGUUUCAUUUUUUUUUCUUGAUUAAGCCAUGUUUUACUGAAAGUUAAGUGUCUUUCUGGGACAUUAGCCCAAUAUGAUAGAAAGAAACUUAUACAAUCUCUAUCUUUGAAGGAAAUGAUAAUGAGUAAUGCUGUUGAUAAAAAUUUCCAACCAGGUGAUGCUUUUUGUCUGAAUUUGACUCAGACAGCCCAAGCUUAGAUUUGUUUUGGUCAUACCAGGCCUCAGGGGUUGCCCCCGCUAGGCCUCACCCACACUGUCUGUGCACAGGUGCGUAAAGCAGCAGGCUACCAACCUUGAAAGACCCUGUGCCUUCCGGGUACUGGAUCCCCUGAAACUCUGUCCACCCUUCAGGCCUCUUGCCUGCCUUUCUCCCCCUCGUUCUGAUUCACUGUCUCGGGGAUUGAUAUGUAUUUCUGGGCUUCCAGGAACCUUCCCAGCCCAGAUCUCCAGGAACACAUUUUACUCCAACUCACUUGCCCCAGCCUGGGACCGGGAGCCCAUGUACAGCAAUGAGUACCUUGGAACAUCUCUGGAGGGCAAGGUAUAUCCCUAUUCCACCCUGAGAUGAAGCCAGUACAGCCCCAGAGGUCCUUGGCAUGGAGAGCCAGGCCACAGAGAGGACACAACGGCAGGGGACUCAUGUGACUGAGAGCUGCCCACAAGUCCCCUGAGGGCCAGCUGUGCAGUCAGCACCUGCGCACAGCGAACAAGAGCCUUGUGCCUCCCUGGGGGAGACUCUGCCACCAUCCUCGGGUUUAACUGUGACAGAUGGCUCUCAAUUUGGUUAGCAGGGUGAAGAGAUGUAGACUCAGCUACUCACACUGUCAGAAAUUAUGAAUCUGCUGCCCAGUGAAUCUUUAUGCCAGGAGAAGAUUUGAUUUCCCUCAACAACAUCGUUGAAUAAUGUCAACUGAUUAUCUCACCCUCUUUACUUUGGUCACAAGGAGACCGAAACCUGAGCUUUCAACCACUUUAACAAUGGGCAGAGCCUUCUGGAAUGCAUGUCAUGUUCUCAUGCCACUCCUGGUUUUGUUUUUCUAAUGCACCCCAUUUCUUCACAUUUAAUCAUUCCACCUACAUUUAAAUCUUGAUUGUCAUAUAUGUUGUUAUCAUCCACCUCAUGAGACCAAUGUAAA